GAUGAAGAACGUAGCGAAAUGCGAUAAGUAAUGUGAAUUGCAGAAUUCAGUGAAUCAUCGAAUCUUUGAACGCACAUUGCGCCCCUUGGUAUUCCGAGGGGCAUGCCUAUUCGAGCGUCAUUAUCACCCCUCAAGCCCGGCUUGUUGUUGGACGUUUGGUGAGACUUUUAACUAAGUCUUGUCCGUCUCAAAGAUAAUGACGGCGUCGGCGAGGACUCCGGUACACUGAGCUUUCGGGCACGUACUCGGUAUAAGGACUCGCGGACCCGGUCUAAUCGUGUGCAUCUUUAACUAGGUGCGUGCAAACCCCUUCUCAAGGUUGACCUCGGAUCAGGUAGGAAUACCCGCUGAACUUAAGCAUAUCAAUAAGCGGAGGA
rnacentral:misc_RNA from 1 species